rnacentral:rRNA from 1 species
AAAGCGACGAUGCGUAGCCGACCUGAGAGGGUGAUCGGCCACACUGGGACUGAGACACGGCCCAGACUCCUACGGGAGGCAGCAGUAGGGAAUCUUCCGCAAUGGACGAAAGUCUGACGGAGCAACGCCGCGUGAGUGAUGAAGGUUUUCGGAUCGUAAAGCUCUGUUGUUAGGGAAGAACAAGUACCGUUCGAAUAGGGCGGUACCUUGACGGUACCUAACCAGAAAGCCACGGCUAACUACGUGCCAGCAGCCGCGGUAAUACGUAGGUGGCAAGCGUUGUCCGGAAUUAUUGGGCGUAAAGGGCUCGCAGGCGGUUUCUUAAGUCUGAUGUGAAAGCCCCCGGCUCAACCGGGGAGGGUCAUUGGAAACUGGGGAACUUGAGUGCAGAAGAGGAGAGUGGAAUUCCACGUGUAGCGGUGAAAUGCGUAGAGAUGUGGAGGAACACCAGUGGCGAAGGCGACUCUCUGGUCUGUAACUGACGCUGAGGAGCGAAAGCGUGGGGAGCGAACAGGAUUAGAUACCCUGGUAGUCCACGCCGUAAACGAUGAGUGCUAAGUGUUAGGGGGUUUCCGCCCCUUAGUGCUGCAGCUAACGCAUUAAGCAC